ACAAUUUAAUGUUAAAAUCUGUAUUAAGU
rnacentral:piRNA from 1 species